AUGGGAGGAUUCGCUCCUCCUAUCCCGCAGGAUGACAGCAACUGGGAGAUCCGCGUGGCGGUGCUGCUGAGCCUCUUCUUCCAAACGGUCCUCAUCUUCGUGGGUCCCAUCCGUAGGCGUUCGUCCUCGCCGGUGAUCAGCUUCCUCAUCUGGUCAUGCUACCUCCUCGCCGACUGGGUCGCGGACCUCGCUCUCGGCCUCCUCCUCAAUAACAUGGGCAACAUCGGCGGCAAAUCCAGCUCGUCCUCUACCAUUGCCUCCGUCACUAGCCCUGAUAAUAGCCCCAUCAUCUUUGCCUUCUGGACACCGUUCCUGCUGCUCCACCUGGGGGGCCCUGACACCAUCACCGCCUACUCCAUCGAGGACAAUGAGAUGUGGCUUCGCCAUCUCAUAGGCUUCCUCUUCGAGCUCUUCUCAGCCUCUGUCAUCUUCUUCUGCUCCCUCAAGGGCAACCCCAUGAUUCCCGCCACUGUCCUCAUGUUUGUCGUUGGCAUUAUCAAGUACGGUGAGCGCACCUACUCGCUCUACUCCGGAAGCAUCAACGGCUUCCGCGAGAGCAUCCUCGGUCCUCCUGACCCGGGCCAAAACUACGCCAAGUUCAUGACCGAGUUCGACUCCAGGGAGCAGGCCGGCCUGGAUGUCGAGAUCGUCAUCUCCGGUGCAGACAGCGAGGCCAAGAGGGCCUUGGCCGACCUGGAGGAAGCCAAGGCCGCACGCGCGGUGGGGAAUACCACCAUGAGCCUUGAGCAGCAGGCGUUCAACUUCUUCCUCAUCUUCCGGCGCCUCUUCGUCGACCUCAUCCUGAACUACGAGGAGAACAGUAUCAGCCACGCAUACUUCCUCGAGCGUGAAGAGGUAUCGUACUCGCCGACCAAAGCCUUCCUUGUCAUUGGCGUGGAGCUCAACUUCAUCUACGACAUGGUGUACACCAAGGGCCCUGUCACCUACCGCAAGGCCGGCUGCGUCCUCCGCUUCAUCGCCUCCGCCUGCCUCAUCUCCUCCCUCCUCAUUUUCAUCCACCACGACAAGGGCGGCUUCACGCACAUUGACAUCGCCAUCACCUACGCGCUGCUCCUCGGUGGCGUGGGGCUCGACAUCGCCGCGCUCGCCAUGCUCCUCUUCUCCCAUCGGAUGCUCAUCUUCCUCGAGAAGACGGAGUGGCUGCAGUGGCUCGCGUGGACCGUCCGGUCCAUGCGCGUGCGGCUGCGGAGCUGGUCAGAGAAGACCUCACAGCUAAACCUCGUGAGCUACUGCCUGGGGGGCAAGCGGGACGGCCUCCGCCGCCCCGCGCUGAUGGUCCGGGCGCUCGCUAGGGUGUCUGAGAUGCUGCACGUCCAGGAGAUCUUCCACGACUUCUUCUUCAUCCAGCGUGAGCAUCUCUCGAGGAGACAGGGCCUCCUUGAUUUUCUUUUUACUGUGGCCAAGGAGAGGUCCAUCAAAGCCAAGAUGGUGGCUUCCGGAGCUUUCAAGGAAGCAUGCAGCUCGCGCGGCCAGGGAGCCCUCACGGAGCUUCAUGGGCAGAUCAAGGAGAACCUGAACAAAUGGACAAGAGAAGCCGCACAUAAGGAAGAGCGCGAGGCGGUCAUCAAACGACAGGUGAAUGAAAAGCUCGCUGUACUUACAGACAGCGUGGAGAGGCAGUUCCACGAGUCCUUGCUGGUGUGGCACAUCGCGACGGACCUAUGCUGCCACCCACUUGAGACUACGGUGGCGACCGAGGACACGAGCAUGAUGAGGCUGGUCAGCGAGACCUUGUCAGAGUACAUGCUGUACCUGCUCAUCAAGCAGCCGGAUAUGUCACCGCCGGGCAUCGGGCUGGUCCUGUACCGUGACACCUGCGCAGAGGCAAAGCUGUUCUUCAAGUCUGCGGCAGCGUGGGACCCGGACCACCGCGACGCGCGGAGGAUGCUGCUGGGGGUGAACACGACCAUGGAGCCGUCAGCGGUGAAUGGCACCCGGUGCAGGUCGGUGCUGUUCAAGGGCGUGAUCCUGGGCAAGGCGCUGAGGGAUCUGGGAGACGACCUGAUGUGGCAACUGGUGGCCAGGGUGUGGGAGGAGAUGCUUACGUACGCGGCAGGCAAGUGCCGGGGUAGCACGCACCUACCGCAGCUCAGUCGUGGUGGCGAGCUCAUAACCAUGGUCUGGUUCCUCAUGGCGCACAUGGGCGUCGGGGACAUGUACGAGAUCAACGAGAGAGAUGGCGUGCCCAAGCUCAUCGUCCGUGGCCAGUAG
rnacentral:rRNA from 1 species